CCAUCUCAAGUGUCUGGAUAACUUGUAUACAGUGUCUUGGCUCCUGAUCCUUUCUACAUUUAUGUUUAAACACUUCUAAUUGCCUAACUCAAGCAAAAGAAAAAAACUCCUUAAACUUCUUCACCCCACAAAAACUUCCUCUAAAUUUAAGGCAUCAAUUUUCAAAUAUUUUACUAGCAUUUUCAUCAAAAAGCAAAGAUAUAAGAUAGUGAAAAUACUUUUCCCCAUAAACUAAAGUUCCAAACUCAGUAUAAGAUGAUACAUAUAUAGUUCCUAAAAAAAAACUUAUGUAGAUUAAACGGGUCCCAUUGUUGAUGACCAUAUUAUUUUACCUAAGAAUUAACUAUUGGAUCCAUAUUGGUCCAAUUAAAAGAGAGAAAAAUAUGGAAAUAAUUCCUUGCAAGAAUGGAAUUCAUAAUCAUAAGCAAUGUAGAAAUCCAAUUUUCAUGAUGCAAAUUGGCUUUGAGAGUUAGUGACUCUAGUAGCAUAAUAUUUAGCAAUGAAAUCAGAAGCUUUUCUAUCAAUAUCUGGCUCUCCAAUCCAAGUUCCUAUAUCUUCAUCACUUGUAAAUAUCCUCCUUCCUCUCCCACUACCUUCCAAGUGCUCAUAACUACUUCUACUCGAAAAACAACACUUGAAUAAGCUUGUAAAUGAGUUAGAAGAUGACUUUUUUGCUCCCAUAUUGAGUCUUAAGUCUUAACACUUGGUAACUUACUCACUACACCCCCUUUAAUGUUUUUGAAGGAUA
rnacentral:lncRNA from 1 species